rnacentral:rRNA from 1 species
ACGCUGGCGGCAGGCCUAACACAUGCAAGUCGAGCGGUAGAGAGAAGCUUGCUUCUCUUGAGAGCGGCGGACGGGUGAGUAAUGCCUAGGAAUCUGCCUGGUAGUGGGGGAUAACGUCCGGAAACGGACGCUAAUACCGCAUACGUCCUACGGGAGAAAGCAGGGGACCUUCGGGCCUUGCGCUAUCAGAUGAGCCUAGGUCGGAUUAGCUAGUUGGUGGGGUAAUGGCUCACCAAGGCGACGAUCCGUAACUGGUCUGAGAGGAUGAUCAGUCACACUGGAACUGAGACACGGUCCAGACUCCUACGGGAGGCAGCAGUGGGGAAUAUUGGACAAUGGGCGAAAGCCUGAUCCAGCCAUGCCGCGUGUGUGAAGAAGGUCUUCGGAUUGUAAAGCACUUUAAGUUGGGAGGAAGGGCAGUAAAUUAACACUUUGCUGUUUUGACGUUACCGACAGAAUAAGCACCGGCUAACUCUGUGCCAGCAGCCGCGGUAAUACAGAGGGUGCAAGCGUUAAUCGGAAUUACUGGGCGUAAAGCGCGCGUAGGUGGUUCGUUAAGUUGGAUGUGAAAUCCCCGGGCUCAACCUGGGAACUGCAUUCAAAACUGACGAGCUAGAGUAUGGUAGAGGGUGGUGGAAUUUCCUGUGUAGCGGUGAAAUGCGUAGAUAUAGGAAGGAACACCAGUGGCGAAGGCGACCACCUGGACUGAUACUGACACUGAGGUGCGAAAGCGUGGGGAGCAAAC